rnacentral:lncRNA from 1 species
AGCUUUUUGUCAAGUAAAACUGGCUAAAAGCCAAGUUUUUGUCUGACUGUAUUAAACCUCAGCUCGUGUCAAUCCAAUAAACAGAAGCUCAUCCUAUUGGCCACCUGUAACAAUGGCCAGGACCCUGAGUGUUCCUUCCCGGAAUAGGAACACGAUGUUGGAAAUUUCUGUGACAGUCCCAGGGAGCUUGAGAUUGUCGAUCUUGUCUGGAAACAGGGAAGUUGUUGUUUUGCUCCAGGAGAAGAAGUGGAUGCCAUGAAUGUUCUAAAUAUGGAGAAAGAAAUAUUUUCAGUUACCGAAUGGGCCAGUUGUUUGCCUGGAGUCCCCAUGUUUCUGGACCUCAGCUCCUGGAUGGCUCUGAAUCUGAAAGGAUUACAGACAAGCUCCAGAUAAUAGCCCU